UCCCAUGUGGUCUAUUGUUUGGGAUUCCUUGCUUUCACCUAGGCGGCCCGGGUUCGAUUCCCGGCAUGGGAA